GACGAACGCUGGCGGCGUGCUUAACACAUGCAAGUCGAGCGGAAAGGCCACUUCGGUGGUACUCGAGCGGCGAACGGGUGAGUAACACGUGAGUAAUCUGCCCUUCACUCUGGGAUAGCCACCGGAAACGGUGAUUAAUACCGGAUACGACCACUCCACGCAUGUGGUGGUGGUGGAAAUUUUUUGGGUGGGGGAUGUGCUCGCGGCCUAUCAGCUUGUUGGUGGGGUAAUGGCCUACCAAGGCUUCGACGGGUAGCCGGCCUGAGAGGGUGACCGGCCACACUGGGACUGACACACGGCCCAGACUCCUACGGGAUGCAGCAGUGGGGAAUAUUGGACAAUGGGCGGAAGCCUGAUCCAGCAACGCCGCGUGAGGGAUGACGGCCUUCGGGUUGUAAACCUCUUUCAGCACCGACGAAGCGCAAGUGACGGUGGGUGCAGAAGAAGGACCGGCCAACUACGUGCCAGCCGCCGCAGUAA
rnacentral:rRNA from 1 species